AGAGUUUGAUUCUGGCUCAGGAUGAACGCCGGCGGUGUGCCUAAUACAUGCAAGUCGUACGCACUGGCCCAACUGAUUGAUGGUGCUUGCACCUGAUUGACGUUGGAUCACCAGUGAGUGGCGGACGGGUGAGUAACACGUAGGUAACCUGCCCCGGAGCGGGGGAUAACAUUUGGAAACAGAUGCUAAUACCGCAUAACAACAAAAGCCACAUGGCUUUUGUUUGAAAGAUGGCUUUGGCUAUCACUCUGGGAUGGACCUGCGGUGCAUUAGCUAGUUGGUAAGGUAACGGCUUACCAAGGCGAUGAUGCAUAGCCGAGUUGAGAGACUGAUCGGCCACAAUGGAACUGAGACACGGUCCAUACUCCUACGGGAGGCAGCAGUAGGGAAUCUUCCACAAUGGGCGCAAGCCUGAUGGAGCAACACCGCGUGAGUGAAGAAGGGUUUCGGCUCGUAAAGCUCUGUUGUUGGAGAAGAACGUGCGUGAGAGUAACUGUUCACGCAGUGACGGUAUCCAACCAGAAAGUCACGGCUAACUACGUGCCAGCAGCCGCGGUAAUACGUAGGUGGCAAGCGUUAUCCGGAUUUAUUGGGCGUAAAGCGAGCGCAGGCGGUUGCUUAGGUCUGAUGUGAAAGCCUUCGGCUUAACCGAAGAAGUGCAUCGGAAACCGGGCGACUUGAGUGCAGAAGAGGACAGUGGAACUCCAUGUGUAGCGGUGGAAUGCGUAGAUAUAUGGAAGAACACCAGUGGCGAAGGCGGCUGUCUGGUCUGCAACUGACGCUGAGGCUCGAAAGCAUGGGUAGCGAACAGGAUUAGAUACCCUGGUAGUCCAUGCCGUAAACGAUGAGUGCUAGGUGUUGGAGGGUUUCCGCCCUUCAGUGCCGGAGCUAACGCAUUAAGCACUCCGCCUGGGGAGUACGACCGCAAGGUUGAAACUCAAAGGAAUUGACGGGGGCCCGCACAAGCGGUGGAGCAUGUGGUUUAAUUCGAAGCAACGCGAAGAACCUUACCAGGUCUUGACAUCCAGUGCAAACCUAAGAGAUUAGGUGUUCCCUUCGGGGACGCUGAGACAGGUGGUGCAUGGCUGUCGUCAGCUCGUGUCGUGAGAUGUUGGGUUAAGUCCCGCAACGAGCGCAACCCUUGUCAUUAGUUGCCAUCAUUAAGUUGGGCACUCUAAUGAGACUGCCGGUGACAAACCGGAGGAAGGUGGGGAUGACGUCAAGUCAUCAUGCCCCUUAUGACCUGGGCUACACACGUGCUACAAUGGACGGUACAACGAGAAGCGAACCUGCGAAGGCAAGCGGAUCUCUUAAAGCUGUUCUCAGUUCGGACUGUAGGCUGCAACUCGCCUACACGAAGCUGGAAUCGCUAGUAAUCGCGGAUCAGCACGCCGCGGUGAAUACGUUCCCGGGCCUUGCACACACCGCCCGUCA
rnacentral:rRNA from 1 species